AUUUAUUAAAUUAAUAUUAAUGUUUGUAUUUAAGGAUUUUAUAAAAAUAAUUUAUUUAUUUUAUGUUUUAGUAUUAAUUAAAAAAAAAUUUUUAAAUUUAUAGUUUAAUAGUAUUGUAAAAGAAUUAAAUUAAAUUUUAGAAAGAAUUUAUAAUUAAAGUACCUUUUGUAUCAGGGUUAAUUAAAAUUUUAAAUUUAAUUUUUAAUUCUCAAAAUUUAUAGAGUUAAUUUUAUUAUUAAUUUACUGUGUUAUAAGUAUUUAUAAAAUAAUAUUAGUUUUGAAAUUUAAUUCGUUAUAAUAUAUUUAGUUAUUUAAGAAUUAAAUUUAAUUUAGAAUUUUAAAAGUUAAGUUAAUUUUAUUAAUUGAAAUUUUAAAUUUAAAUUAUUUUAAGGAUAAGCUUGAAAUUUUUAUAUAAUAUUAAUUUAAAAUUUUAAAUAGUUUAUAGGAAUAGAAAUUUUUAUUUAAGUUUGUAAAAAUUUAUUAUUUUUUUUUAUUUAAUUUAUUAAUUUUAUUUAUUAUUAAUAUUAAAUUUUAUAAAUAAAUUAAUUAUUUAUAGUAAUAAUGAUUAAAUUAGUAUAAUAAAA
rnacentral:rRNA from 1 species